AUCCGGGUUGCGGACAGUGUCUGGUGGGUAGUUUGACUGGGGCGGUCUCCUCCUAAAGAGUAACGGAGGAGCACGAAGGUUAGCUAAUCCUGGUCGGACAUCAGGAGGUUAGUGCAAAGGCAUAAGCUAGCUUGACUGCGAGCGUGACGGCGCGAGCAGGUGCGAAAGCAGGUCUUAGUGAUCCGGUGGUUCUGAAUGGAAGGGCCAUCGCUCAACGGAUAAAAGGUACUCCGGGGAUAACAGGCUGAUACCGCCCAAGAGUUCAUAUCGACGGCGGUGUUUGGCACCUCGAUGUCGGCUCAUCACAUCCUGGGGCUGAAGUAGGUCCCAAGGGUAUGGCUGUUCGCCAUUUAAAGUGGUACGCGAGCUGGGUUUAGAACGUCGUGAGACAGUUCGGUCCCUAUCUGCCGUGGGCGCUGGAGAAUUGAGGGGGGCUGCUCCUAGUACGAGAGGACCGGAGUGGACGCAUCACUGGUGUUCGGGUUGUCAUGCCAAUGGCAUUGCCCGGUAGCUAAAUGCGGGAGAGAUAAGUGCUGAAAGCAUCUAAGCACGAAACUUGCCCUGAGAUGAGUUCUCCCUGACCCUUUAAGGGUCCUGAAGGAACGUUGAAGACGACGACGUUGAUAGGUCGGGUGUGUAAGCGUAGCGAUACGUUGAGCUAACCGAUACUAAUGAACCGUGAGGCUUAACCUU
rnacentral:rRNA from 1 species